rnacentral:rRNA from 1 species
GACCCGGCUGUUGUGGUCGGCCGCAUAGGUCUGUACUCUUCUGGCUGGGUCUUUCCUUCUGGAGAACCGCCAUGCCAUUCGUUUGGUGUGGCGGAGAUCCAGGACGUUUACCUUGAGAAAAUUAGAGUGUUUAAAGCAGGCCGAUGCGCUUGAAUACAUUAGCAUGGAAUAAUAAAAUAG